GUUUCUGGUUUCGGUUUCACUUUCGGCUUGCUGUACAGACUGCUGCCCACCAGCUGGCUAGGUCGCUCUAACAGAAAGACAGCAUGAGAACUGGGAGAGCUGAGAACAACUGUUGAACCAUGGAUGUAAUGAUCCCCUUCUUUCCAUCAGCAACAAUGGCAAAUCCUCUGUGCUGAAGACCACAUUUUCUCCCUGGAAAAAUGGAAAUGUUACUGUUUAGACACAGAUCCCUGAAAAAUGGAAUUUUAAUGCAUGUACAUCACAGAUUGUUGGUUUUCUACCCAAAAGCACUGUCCAUGAUUUCAAUAACAACAGGAGUGCAAACUGCAUGCCCCAGCUUGCCCAGAAAGUCAGUGUGGCCAUGUGUAAUGCACAAAAGUGCUGUGAAACAUCUCAAAGGGAUAAGCAUGUGGUUUGCCUGCCUUGUGACUCUGUGUCUCACAAUGGGAGUAACACAGCUUCAGCAAGCAAGUCACGGACAUGAUCACAGCACUGCCGUCCAGGACCUCAAGAUGUGCCUCAGAGAACUGCAGAAUCAGUGUCAUCACAGACAUCAUUAGUGACUGCGGCUGCUGCUGCUGCUGCUGCUGCAAAUCCUUGGACUGUGUAGGAGACAUGCAAGACAUUAUGUGUGGUGAACACCAGAACCGUGCUGGAAAUACAUCUUUGCACCAGACUGACAGAUGGUUUGUCAUAGUGCAGCAUUCCAGAAGACAGUAUGGCAAUAAGGAAGAUGCUUAGGAACUAAAUUAAUGACAACUCUUAGGACAGAAAGAAGGGAGGAAGAAGGAAUGGGAGAGAAGAAAGGAAGAAUAAAGGAAGGAAGAUAUAAAAAAUGAAGAAAAAGAGAGGGAGAGGAGAGACAUGUGGGGGAAGAAACCUUUCUCUGGUUGUGGUGGUGGUGUGGUGCUGGGUUUUUUGUUGUUCUCGUUUUUGUCUUUGUUUUCUAGGUGGU
rnacentral:lncRNA from 1 species